CCUACGGGAGGCUGCAGUGGGGAAUAUUGGACAAUGGGGGGAACCCUGAUCCAGCCAUGCCGCGUGUGUGAAGAAGGCCCUCGGGUUGUAAAGCACUUUCAGUGAGGAAGAACGCCUGGUGGUUAAUACCCAUCAGGAAAGACAUCACUCACAGAAGAAGCACCGGCUAACUCCGUGCCAGCAGCCGCGGUAAUACGGAGGGUGCGAGCGUUUAUCGGAAUUACUGGGCGUAAAGCGCGCGUAGGUGGCUUGAUAAGCCGGUUGUGAAAGCCCCGGGCUCAACCUGGGAACGGCAUCCGGAACUGUCAAGCUAGAGUGCAGGAGAGGAAGGUAGAAUUCCCGGUGUAGCGGUGAAAUGCGUAGAGAUCGGGAGGAAUACCAGUGGCGAAGGCGGCCUUCUGGACUGACACUGACACUGAGGUGCGAAAGCGUGGGUAGCAAACAGGAUUAGAUACCCCUGUAGUC
rnacentral:rRNA from 1 species